CUCCUCGGAGAUGCCGGAGACCAUUACCAGCCGAGACGCUGCUCGUUUUCCCAUUGUUGCCAGUUGCACCCUUCUGGGGCUCUACCUCUUCUUUAAAAUAUUCUCUCAAGAGUACAUCAAUCUUCUGCUUUCCAUGUAUUUCUUUGUGCUGGGGAUCCUGGCCCUGUCCCACACCAUCAGCCCCACGAUGAACAGAUUCUUCCCUGCAAAUUUCCCCAACAAACAGUACCAGCUCCUCUUCACCCAGGGCUCUGGGGAGAGCAAGGAGGAAAUAGUGAAUUACGAGUUUGACACCAAGGAUCUCGUAUGCCUGGCCCUGAGCAGUGUUGUGGGGGUCUGGUACCUGCUGAGAAAGCACUGGAUUGCCAACAAUCUCUUCGGGCUGGCGUUCUCCCUCAACGGGGUGGAGCUGCUGCACUUGAACAACGUCAGCACUGGCUGUAUCUUGCUUGGGGGCCUCUUCAUCUACGACGUCUUCUGGGUCUUUGGCACCAAUGUGAUGGUGACGGUUGCCAAAUCGUUUGAGGCCCCCAUAAAACUGGUUUUCCCUCAGGACCUGCUGGAGAAGGGACUGGAGGCCGACAACUUUGCCAUGCUGGGUCUGGGAGACAUUGUCAUUCCGGGCAUCUUCAUUGCCUUGCUGCUGCGGUUUGACAUCAGCUUGAAGAAGAACACACACAUGUAUUUUUACACCAGCUUUGUGGCUUACAUCUUCGGGCUGGGCCUGACCAUAUUCAUCAUGCACAUCUUCAAGCACGCCCAGCCUGCUCUUCUGUACCUGGUCCCUGCAUGCAUCGGAUUCCCGCUUCUUGUGGCCUUGGCAAAGGGAGAAGUAACUGAAAUGUUCAGCUACGAGGAGAGCUCUACCCCCAAGGAGGUGCCGGGGGCCUCCAAAGAAGAGACGACAGAAGCUGCCAAGAAGAAGAAGUGACCUUGCCCGCGGGCGGUGCCCGGUGCCGCCGGGCUGGGGCCCUUCCAGACCCUCUGCAAGUGACAGACGACGAAACAAUUGUGCAAGAGCAUCGUGUUGUGUGUGUCGGAGCAGCCGCCCAGGAAGGAGUGCUGGUCUGGCCUCGGCCGCUGCUCCGGUUGCAGCUCCCGCUCAGUCGCCUGGCCGGCACCGGGAUCAGCGUCCCGGCUCUCCGGCAGCCUUGUUCUCCCUGUGGGGCCCGGGGCUGCUCUCUGGCUGUUUCCAAGUGACCGUCCCCUUCCCCCUCCUGCUCCUCCGGUGCUCAGCCUUCCCCUGGCUGGCCUCAGCCUGGGCCCCUCCUCUGCAAGACCCAGAUUUAGGGCUGUGGUUGCUGACCCCCAGCCCGUCCCCAGGUGGGUUUGGGCCAGGGUCUGGCCCUGGAGCAGGGUGGGUGAGCAGGGAUCGGGGCACAGGAACCCGGGGGGAUGGGGACAAGCUCUGCCUUGGCUGCUGGGGCCUCAGCGAGCUGGGGCUGAGCACCCACGGCCUGGGGGAGCGG